ensembl:lncRNA
GGUGGCAGAAACAGGCUGAGCGGCAAAGGGAGGGGAACAAAAAGCCCCGCGAUGAUUUCCCUCCCGGGGCUGAUUUCCCAUGGUGUGAAAGUGGCGCGGCUACAUGAGCCGGGCUGUGGCAGCUCCCGGGUUAUUGUGCAGCCAUCCCCGCCGGCCGUACGAGUGAGAGGAGGCACAGCGUGACCUCAGCACAGAGCACGUUUAAUGAAGCUCGGAGGAUCGGGCUGGUUUUCUCCGACGCAUCCUCGUCCCCGGUGCUGUUAGGGUUCACAUCCUCCCAGAUGGGAGCUGGGUGUGAUCCCCUUCAGCCCUCUGCUGCCAGACUGGUGGCUGAUGGACGCCAGAGGCCCUGGCAGGGGGCAACACAUGGCCAAGGGCGGCCAACGAAUGCCCCAGGGAAGGACUCGUCGUCUCACUUUGUGAUAUCUGCAUUGGCGUGAUGUGCUGCGGCAGACUGUGCGCUCGUCGGGAUGCUUUUCCCAAGGGGGAGCUUGCUCUUCCUUUUGGAAACCGUGUGCCCAUCACACCUCCUCAUCCAGGGGCGCCCCAGGAGGAUGCGGAUGGCUCAAAGACCUGGGAACUAUGACAGAGGCUGGGGAGCUCCACGGCGUACGGGCACGGUGGUGGCAGGUUGAUGGUUGGACUGGACAAUCCUAGCAGUCUUUUUCAACCCUAAAGAUUCUAUGAGCUGGGAGGAUUUCGCAGUGGUGUCUGGGCUGAGGAAAUGUUUUUGUCUCAACCCGUGCUGGCUGGAGGGACAGGGUGCAAAGAGGGACGAGGCUGUGUGCUUGGCCCGCCCUCUCCGCAAGUUUGCCCCCACUCCUGCACAGCCCCGCUGCACAGCCUGGCCCAGGAUCCUGAGAAAAUCGCUAAGCUCCGAGAAAGUCAUUAGAGCACAGCCCCGCCAGAUAGGAGAAGCCUCCAGGUCAUGCUCUGGAACCACGGCGACACGCAACCCACGUGGCCGGGAAACGUUUCUUUUUGCUUCAAGCCUUUUUGUUUAAACCUUGUUCUCGUCCAUCCCAAGGACUCUCGUCCUUGAAAACCCAAUAGCAACACACUGCCCCGCAUCCCUAUGGAUUCAGGAUUCUACCGCUAGGACGUGGUGCGUUAACGAAGCAGGGGCUCGGUAACAGGGUUGAACAAAGCAUUUGUCAAGGUCUCCUGUCACCACCCUGCUCUCCCCUCCCUGCAGCAGCAUUGCGGAGAGCAGCGCAGCUCGCUGCAAGGCAGAGCUGCUGUCAACUCGUUAACACUUUCUUUCUCUUUGCGAAAGGCACCGCUGUGGAAAUGGAUGGUAAAGAUCUUAUCGUGCUUUGGCUGCUCUCAGGUGCCUCUUACACGCACCUUUG